rnacentral:lncRNA from 1 species
AAGAACAUUCCUGGAUUGAGCAUAAUCACUCUUGCUUUAUGACUGGCUUUUUCCAACCACUCCUUAAUGAUAGUUGACCCUAUUUCAAUGGACAUAUGAGCUGUCCUAAAGGUCUAUUGAAGCUUAUAAAUACAUCUUAAGGAUAAAGAACAAAAUACAACUCAAAGUGCCAAGAAAAACAUCAAUCAUUCAAUCAUACUCAAGUGUCUCGAUAUCAUUCUUAAAACCUGUUGUUUUUAAUCUUUGUGUUGUGUUAGAAUCAGUAUCAACUGAGUUCUAUUUACAUAAUCUAUUUCUCAAACAAGAGUUGAGAAAAUAUCCAGAUUCUAAACUUCUCAAAAUCACCACUUUGUAACUUAAGGUUAUUUUGUUAACAUAAGCUUGAGUGUUUUGUAAAAAUCCUUUCAUGUUUUGAAAGGUAACUCGCAAAAUCCUUUCUGAAAUAGUAAGGUAGAAUUGAGAAAAUCCUUUCUAGGUAGAAGGGUAUAAAAUGUGUAAAGAUCAAAAUUGAUCUAUGAAAAAUAGUGUGAUAACCAAGAACAAUCUUGCCUUUGAGCACAUAGUGGAAAAUCUCACAUUUGUGAGGACUGGACGUAACCCGUAUUUGGGUGAACCAGGAUAUAUGCGUGUGUAAUCUCUUUAUCUCUAUCUCUAUUUACUUUAUGUGUGACAAUCAGAUUUCAUAUUAAUAAUAUUGAUAUUGCUGUUUUUUUACUAACCAAGAUCAAUCUUCUUUAUAACCAAGAUUAAUCUUGAGUUGAAGUUUCAGUUUUAAACAAGAAUUUUUUUAAAAGGGGCAAUUAUAAUUCAAACCCCCCUUCCUUAUAAUUGGUAUUGUUACUUCAAUUUUCAACAAAUAUUUUAAGAUGUCACGCAUUACUGUUAAAUUUAUUUGUCAAUUGGACUGCGACGAGAAAAAAUAUUUUUACUAAAGUAAAUCUGGAAGUGAUGUGAUGUGAUUAUGACUAAGUGUCAUAAAGGAUAUUGUUAGAUUUUAGGAUUAAAUUUAUAUGAUAAAUUUUUAUGGUUAGAAAGUUUUGGAGAUUCAUUUGGAAAUUGAGAUAGUAGAUUAUUUAAGGAAAGGAGAAAAAAAAAAAACAUUUCCCCCUCCCUAUAAAUGCACUUCAUGUCCAUCAUCAUCAUCUUACUAUCUCUUUAUUUAAUUCUUCAAAAACAUCUUCUCUCAUUUCUCUUCAAACCCAAAUCUUCUCAUUCAUUUUUUAGCAACUUAGAGCCUUCCAAUCACAAAACCUUCAAACACAAAGUUGUUUCACUACUUGAGAAUAAUGCAAAGAGCUAAGGAUCAAUAGUUGAGGUAGCUAUUUCUCCCCUCUUUUCUCUCAAACUCGUAAGCAUGUAUGUAUAGGGGCGAAAAUGGAUUUUUUUUGUUUGUUUUGAGAUUUAAUCUUGCUUGUUUAUCACUACUAUGGUUGUUAUUAAUGUUUAGGAAGUUAAAGAAAACAUUUUCAACUCUUUUUCUUUCACAAAUCAAAAAUCCAAAGUAAGGGAGUAAAAUAAAAGUGUGUUUUUUCCUUGGUGUUUUGUUAAUAUUGAAUUUAGAGGAGUUAGGAACUUGAAUAAUAAAAAAAAUGAAAUCAAACCCCCAAAUUUUUAGUAAGACCACAUGUUGGUGUGUCUUAAUGUGAAAAUUUAAUUUUUGUAUGUAUUUGAGUUAUAUAAUGAGUUGUUUUCAAAUAAAUGAGUUUGAACUGAAAAUAUAAAUUUUAUUAGAGCGUUUAAGUUAGUAAAGUUAAGACUUUUGCAAGUGUGUUUGGUUAUAUUUUUUUUAUAAUUAAAAUGACAAUAAGAUGUUAGGUGUUUGGGGACCAAAGUGAUGUCAUUUAAAAAAUAAACUCAAAGUUGUGAAAUGAGGAUUUUAAAGUAAGUGAGUAAUUGAUAAAAAAAAAAAAAAUUGAUUAGUUUUUUUGAGUAAUGUAACGUUGAAGCAACUUUUAUAAUUUCCUAUGUUUAUAUAGUUAGUUCCUUGAGUCUCGAAAAUGAAUCGAGAUUGUUGAUACCGAGUUAGCGGUUGAUAGAAUUCUGAAUAUUUUAUGUUUAUUGACUGAAUUUUUUAAGGAAAAGAGAUAGGAACAAAAAGGUCAUGACACAUUUUUUGGAUAAGUUUUGAAAUAAAGCGGUAAAUGAAUUGUUGUGAGUUAUUUUAAUUCAAAAGCAUUUGAGUGGUAUAAAUUUUAUGAACUUUAAAUAAGUUAGGAAAAAGUUUUCUUGUGAUUUUUAUGGCGGUAUAAAUUAAAAUUUAGAGUCGUUUAAAGUUUGAAAUCAUAGGAGUUGUUGUCCUUGAUUAAUUAUGGUGUUUUAAACUAGAUUUAGAUUUGGAAGUUUUUUUGAAAAACUUUGAUGAGUAAAAUGGAUUUUAACCGAGUGGUAUAUAUAUAUAAAGAGAGUUCAAAAUUUUAUUUAAAAGUUGAUUUUAAGUUGAUUUUCUUAUUAAGGUGUUAAAGAUUUUAUCCUUUGGGUUUUUGCGAGAACAAUGUUUCUACCUUUAUAGAUUGAACUAAAAGUUUUAGAUUUUGAUAUUAAAUUUUUAAUUUUUAUGAAGAAAUUUAACUUUGAGAAACAAAGUUUCAAACUUCAUGGCUUUGAGAAUAGUUCAUAUAAAUAUGUAUAUAUAUAUAUAUAUAUAUAUAUAUAUAUAUAUAUAUAUAUAUAUAUAUAUAUAUAUAUAUAUAUAAGGGUUCAAACUUUGUAUAUAAAAAAGGUUUGAAAGAGAAAUAUUCGCUUUAUGAACAAAGUUUCAAUCUUAAGUUUUGAAGUUAAAAGUUUUAAUUUUUAUAGUAAGGAUAUCAAAUUUAUGCUAAUAUUCGAGGUUGAAAAAGUAUUUAGGUAUUUUGAAAAACAAUGAUUGAUUAUAAUUUAGGGUUUUGAUAUAUAAUUUUAUUAUGAAUUAAGAUUUUAGUUAGAGACUUAAAAGAAGAUUGUGAACUUGGGAAAUAGUUGUUGUUGGUGAAAAAAUGUGGUUUUUAAGUGAAAGUUUAUAUACAAAGCAUAAUUAAUAAAGAUUAAGAUUUGAAAAAUGUCAAAUUGAAUAAUCAUGAUUUUGAAUAGUUAGAAUACUGGAACUCUUAGUAUUUAAGUUUAUUUAUUUGUAAGAUUUCUUGAUACAAACCUUCAACUAGUUUUUCAAAUAUUAAAGUGUUGAAAUUUAUGUAGUUAAUUGAUGAUUUAUUUGAAAUUUCAUACCGUGUGAGUAUGUUUGUCUUUGAUUGAUUUUGUUAAGAAAAUAUUUUGUCCUAAAUUGUUAAAUACAAAGAUUUGAAUUGAACUUCAAUAAGUUUGAAAAAUAAUUUUGAGAUUUUCAAAGUGUGGCAUACAUUUUUUGAAAUUCAUUUUUGCAAAGUACUUAAACCAAAGUCUUUUUGAAGUUAGGGAGCCUAAGAGAAAAGUGAAACCCUAAUUGAUUUGUAUAAUGGUCGAACCUAGAGUUCAUUUGGGGGUUGGUUUAGAAACUUGUAUUGAUGAAAUUAAUUGAUUGGUUUAUGGUACAAGGAAAUUGAGAGGUGUCAUUGGAAUCGUCAUAUAGGUUAUGCUGGUAAUAAAGCACUGUCGAGGUAAGGGUAUUUUCUAACGAUAUUAUAUCAAUGCUUGAAUGCAUAGUGUGCAUGUAUACAUGUUCUUUGUGCUUGUGGUGAAUAAAUGUGCACACAAUUGUUUAUGUAUUUGAUGUGAUUAUGUAAUAUUAACUGAUAACAUAUGUGUUAUGAAUUUUAUCGACGAGAAUAUGUCUUAAGUAUGAUCUGUGAAGAAGUAUUAAAAAUUAUUAGUGUUUAAUGAGUAUUAAAAGGGGAGUCUUUUAAUAAUUGCAUUUAUAUAAUGAUUGAUUUGAAAGAUUCAGAGCAUGCUCAUGCAUUUCAUAGUUAGUGGUAAAUAUGAUGGGCCACAAUGUUAAUGGUGACCGUGAUGGGCCUUGGGGUGGUUCCUUGAGUUGAUUGGUCCACCUUAUCCUUACAAAGAUUUUCGAGUCGUGUAGAUCUGUGAUAGAUUGUCCUCUAGUAAAUCGUGUUGAUCUGUGAUAAGUGUUACCUCAGUAAUUAGUACUGGUCUGUGUGAGGCGGUACAUUUAUGAUUUACGCCCCUCGAGGAGGGUGUGGAAAUUUCGGAAUCAUGCGCACUGACAUAUAAGCAUUGCAUUAGGGUACUUUAUCACACGAGUCAUGUUUGUUAUAUGAUGAUAUUUAUAUGCAUGGUUGUUUAUCACUUGAUGUCAUGUCAUCUUAUGCUUUUGUGCUUUGUAUUUUUGUACGUAUGUUGUUUUUAGAUUGUGACCCUCUACUAUUAUUGUGGAUCGCGCUUACGCCCUAGGUUCUUACAGUUUUGAGUCGUGCUAGAAUUACAAAUGAUUUUGGAUUGAUAAUAAGAAGUAAAGAGACUUGAUGCCACUCAUGGAUCCUUAAUACCCAGUCAAAAGCAUUAUAUAUAAUAAAACAAUGAUUCUAAUUAUCACUUUUGGAAAAGAAUUUUACAAUUAAAUAUUUUACUCUUAUUUAAAUUACAAUACAAUUAUGAAUAUUUUAUCUAAAAAUGUUUAGUUGUUUAAAAAAAUAAAUAAAUUAGACUCUCAUUGUUAAAAAUCGGGGUGUUAUACAAACCUCUUUCAAAAAAUUGGGAAGCAUUCUCGAAAGUAAAAAGGGAGGUGAGCAGAAGUAAAGUGAUCCAUGGAAAAUCUAAUGCAGUCCCAUCCAUUGAAGGUUUGACAACGACAUCAAAGGGAGAUCAACCUCGUUCUUUUCAGAAGAAAACUAGGUUAUGGUGUGACUACUGGAUGAAACUGGAUCAUACCAAUGACACAUGUUGGAUCAUUUAAUAUAUAUAUAUAUAUAUAUAUAUAUAUAUAUAUAUAUAUAACCUCCUUAAUUACCAUUGAAAUUAAAAAUUAUAAUUUUGAUGAUUUUACUAUUCAAUCUUAUUUAAUUGGACUAAUUAUGACAUAAAAUUUCACUUUCGACCUAGUAGUUUAAUUAUAGUUAAUUAGACAAACUAUUAUUUAGAAAUUCUAAUUUUGACUAUCAAACGGUUUAAUCCAAUUUAAUUAGACAAACUAUAACUUAAAAACUGUAAUUUCAAUUGUUCAAUUGUUCAAUCUUAAUUAAAUAGACUAAUUACAACCUAAAAAUACUAAUUUUGAUGAUCCAACAAUUCAAUUUAUAGUAAUUAGACUAAGUAUGAUUUAAGACUUAUAAUUCUGAGGAUAAAAUGCUUCAAUCUUAAUUUAUUAGACUAACUAUGACUUAUAAAUAAUAAUUUUGACGAUCUAGCGAUUUAUAUAACCUAAUGAGACUAGCUAUGACUUAAAAAUUAUAAUAUUGAUGAUUUGACGAUUCAACUUUAACUAAUUAGAUAGACAGUUACUGAAAAAUUGUAAUUUAAAUGAUUAAAUGUUCAUUCGAACAUAAUUAAACUAACUAUGAUUUAACGGUUCAAUUAAACUUAAUUAGACUAAUUAUGACUUAUAAAUUAUAAUUUGAAUGGUUACACGGUUCAAUUUUAUAUAAUUAGAUUAAUUAUGAAUUAUAAUUUCUAAUUUUAAUAAUUCUACGGUUCAAUCUAUCUAAUUAGACUAAGUAUGACCUAAAAAUUAUUAUUUCAAUGACCUGUAGUUUAAUCUAACUUAAUUAGACAAAUUAAGACUUGUAAAUUCUUAUUUUGAUAAUCAAUCGGUUUAAUAUUCUAAUAUAUUUUGACCAAUUAUGACUUAAAAUUUUAAUUUUGAUAAUCCAACCAUUCAAUUAAACCAAUAUCGACUAGCUAUGAUUUUUAAAUCCUAAUUAAUUUCGAUUAUUUAACAUAUGAAUAUUAACUAAUUAGAUUAAGUACGAUUUAUAAAUUCUAAUUUCGACGAUUCAUUAUAUUAGAUAUUAAGUAGUUAGACUAACUAUGACUUAUAAAUUCUAAUUUUGAUAAUAAAAAAGUUCAAUCUAUCAUAACUAAAAGUAAAUAUGUAUAAGAAUUAUAAUUUUGAUUUUCUAAUUGUUGAAUCUUAACUAAUUAAAGUAAUUUAUAAAUAAUAGUUUCAAUUGUUGGAUCUAAUCCAAUGAGACUAACUAUAUCUUAAGAAGCCACAAAUUGAAGAUCCAAACCGCAUGGUUCAACUUAUUCAAUAAUAUUAAUAGCUAGAAAUCACUAAUAAAACAUCAAACAGUAAAAUUUGACUUAAUUAGUAUAAAUAAUUAGUAUAAAUAUUAAUAGCAUUAUGAAAUCACUUGUCGAAUAUUAAACGUUAUAGUUCAACUUAAUUAGUGUAAAUAAGUUUUAGGAAUUACUUAUUGAAAAUCAAACACACAGUUCAACUUAAUUAAUUUAAAUAAGUUUGAAAAAUCACUAAUAUUUCGAUGUUCCAUUCACACAGUUCAACUUUAUCAAUAUAAAUAAGUCUUUGGAAAUCGCUAAUCAAAUAUCAAACCCCUAAUUACACUUAAUUAGUUUGAAUAACUUAAGAAAUCAUUAAUAUUCGAAGAUUCCAGUAUAGUUUUGCUUAAUUAAUAUAAAUAAGUAUUAUGAAAUUACUAAUCAAAUAUAAAACUUUAUUGUUGAACUUAAUUAAUAUAAAUAAGUCUUAAAAAUUCGAUAAUCAAAUAUCAAACUGUAUAAUUCAAUUUAAUUAAUAUAAAUAAGUCUUAAGAAUCUAUAAUAGAAAAUCCAACUAUAUAGUGAACAAAAUUGGUAUAAAUAAAUCCUUAGAAAUAACCGAUCCAAAUUAAUUAGUAUAAAUAAGUGUUACACGAUUAGAAAAUGAAGAUCAAACUUAUAAUUAAAUUUAAUUAGUGUUAGGCAAUCACUAAAUUGUAGUAAAAUGCAACUCUAAAAUUAAUUAUUAAUAAUUAAAAAAUUUGAUAAUUUUUCAAUUUUGAUAUAAAUUUACACACAACCGGAAAAUAAUAAAUUCGAACUUUAAACAAUAUGUCAAAUUUAACAAUAUCAACAUUGUAUCAUAUAACAUAUAAAUUAGAGAAUAAUUUUUUACUUUUAUAUACAUAAUUACCAUACAAAAAUCUAACGCUCCUUUUAUAUUAACUAAAAUUAAAGUUUACAUUAUAACUAGCGGAAACUUUAAACCUAAUUAGGUGUAAAUUUUUGUUGGACAUCCUUUUAAUAAUUCUGUUUAAACAACACUCUUAAAUUUAAAUUUAUACGUUGUAUCAAUAUUUCCUCAGUUAAUAAUAGUUACAAUAAGACAAAAUUACGUCUAAAAUCUCAUUUAAUUGUAACUAUAAUAGUCUUUAUAUUUUUUUUACUUAGGUCAUUUAUCUUUUAAAAAAUAUAAAAGAAUAUCAUGCAUCUUAUUGCUUUCCAUUUGGUACAUUUUUGAAAUAAAAAAUAAUAGUGUACUUUAAUUUUCUAAAUGAGAGUCAAACAUAAACUAAAUACACACUUGUAAUUUUAUCUAUUUGUACAUGUAGUAUUUACCUUAAGUGUUGUAGUUGCAACUAGGAGGUUGAGUAAACUUAACUACUUGUUAAGUGGUUUUUUGUAAUUCAAGUUGAAUUACCAAAAUAAAUCUUUGAGGUGAGGCCAAAGGACAUAGCCAACUAGAUUGGUGAUAAAUUAAUAUAAAAUUUCUUACGCGUUUUUUUUUCUUUUUUAGCUUUUAUAUUCUAAAAAUGCCUUAAUCACCAAGUUAUUAUUAAAAUUUAAAAACUGUUUUAACAAACUAUAAUACAGUUCAAAACCACAAUUUAUUGUGUCGUUGAAACUUCAAUUUGGUAUCUAACAAAAGGCGUUAGAAUUUUAAUAUCAUCAGCAACUAAUAAACACUAAAAAUAAUAAAUAAAUAAAUAAAAAGCAAUUACCAAUUCUGUUGAUUUUGACCUUGAAGUCAUCAAACAUAUUCGACUAAUUAGAGGAGUGAAAUCUCACGUAUGUCUUCAAUGAGAAUGAGAGUGAAGGUAAGAGUCGCGAGAAGCAAUAUUUGUCUGAAGUUUUUGCUUCCCUUUCGGUGUCUUGUAAUCUCGUACCGUCUUUAUUCCCCAUUGUGCCGCCUCAAACUAAAAAACAAACAACCCUUUCAAGGCACACAGGGAAACAAAUCUAAUGGGGAUAUAGAAUACUACCUCAACGGAUUUGCAAAAACUAUGUGACAAGGAAUACUGAAUGAACUAGCAGAACUAUGUGUUAGAAUGAAUGUUGAGAAAAAAAGGAUUUUGAAAAAUUCUUAAUUUGAGAUUUGCUGGUCGAAAAACUCUUAGCUUGGACCCAAUCAGGGUGGUAGAAAUUCUACAAGUCAAGGUUAUUGACCCAAUAGUAUAGUACCAAAAUAGGUCUCCAUAAAAAUUAACCAUCGUC